ensembl:lncRNA
CACAUGUACUCACUAAGCCUUUAUCUUUCUUAGAGAAGAUUCCUGUGAUUCUCUCAUUCUUAGUCAGAAGGCAGAUCAAAUGCAUUUCCUGCAGAAUGGAGGACAAAUUCAGACUGACAGAGCCCAGCUACCUCAGCCUAUCUUUGUGUCAGAGGUGUUGCAGACUUCUGAUCAUCUUCAUGGCCCUUCUGUAUACCAACUCCAAGUUGUUCCUCAUCUUUCUUGUGCUGGGAGCCCCAGGCCUGGAUGCAGUACUCCAGAUGGGACCUCACGAGAGCAGAGUAGUGUGGGACAAUCCCCUCCCUUUCCCUGCUGACCAUCCCUCCUUUGAUGCAGUCCAGGAUACAGCUGGCAUUCUGAGCCGCAAGAACUCACUGCUGGCUUUAUCAGAAGAGGUACACUCUCUUUGGCCUGUAGAAUCACUUCUUGUUACUUUUUUGUUUGUGACUAGUGAACAUGUGUGUGAUCAUUCCUUUCACACAGGCCUUCUAAAAAAAAGGAAAUGAGUGCAGACAGAAAAAUGGGCUUGUUACUUCCUCCUGUCCUGACACAGAAUGAUUUUGUUUAACUGUCCCCUACCAAGGACACAGUGGAAUGUCAUGUUGGAUGUUACAUUUGAAAAAUGUUGUAUAUGAAUCCUUUAGCUAAAAUAUUUGAAGAUUAUUCUGUCAGUGUGAAAAGUGAGAAGGCAAAAAAUCUUUUUCUAAAAGUCUUGAAAGCAAAAGGAAGUUGUGUUCUGAUUUCGAUGAAUUUUCUGUAACUCAAAGAGCUAGAAUUGCACAAGUCUAUUCCUGGCCUUGGGAAUUCCACAGAACUUUGGUUACUGAUUUCAGCAAAGGCUGUUUUGCCUUUUAUUUCUGUCCAUGACUGACUGUUAAGAAAUUUCUGGUGCACAAUGCAGUAAAAGUUUCCAACUUUAGUUCUUGCCAAGUCUAAAAUUGUUCUGUUUUGUUGUUUCAGAAAAUGCAUAUACAGAAUGUUUUCAUUUGUCUGUUUGACAAAUAUGCCUGAAUGCUCAAUAACUUAUCUUUAAAAUUAGCCUGUCAGAGAAAUCAUGACACAAGUAUAAUGAUGAAACAUUACUUGGCUCUAAAGAUGAAUUUCUGUAACAGUCAUAACUGGCCUCUGAGGUGUUACUGAUUGAUGAAGCAACACUUUAAUAGAAAUUGGACUAAUUUACGUGUGUCUCUACAAAUAAAAAUCUAUGUAUUUUACAGUGUUCAGAUUCAUUUGACUAACCAUGAAAAAAUUCACUAAGGUUUUAGAUUUCAAUUUGUGUUUGAUCCCGAGACAUGAGAUAAAAAAUGUAUAUAUUAAACUGAAAUAGAAUGAAAAUAUAUAUGUAUAUGUGUCCUUUUUCUGCAUUGUACAUACUUUCUUUCCAAUGCCCUCCAUUAAAAUGAGAACUAGUAUUUUUUUUUUCUCAAAAUACUUGGCAAUUAGUUAUUAAACAAAGAUGAAAAUGUCUAUACUCCAACAAAUUUUGCCUAGUGAAGAAGCAGUACUGCUGAUUCAAACCCAGAACUGUACUUCCUCUUAUUCGAUAGUAACAACCCCAAAAAAUUAAGCCCUAUACUCCAUGCCUGAUUGAAAGAGUGUAGAAAUUGUAAUAAUUGUAGCAUGUAGGAACAACUUAUGUUUUGGAUUGUUAAUUAUUGUUUUUGGAAUCCUUAUUGAAUCUAGUACAGGUUUUAUGACUGCCACAAAAAUGAUGAGAAUGCAGGCUCAGAGAGACUGGGCUGUUCAGCAUAUAUGAGGG